UACGUAGGGGGCGAGCGUUACCCGGAUUUAUUGGGCGUAAAGAGCGUGUAGGCGGUUUGGUAGGUCCGUUGUGAAAACUCGAGGCUCAACCUCGAGACGCCGAUGGAAACCAUCAGACUAGAGUCCGGAAGAGGAGAGUGGAAUUCCUGGUGUAGCGGUGAAAUGCGCAGAUAUCAGGAAGAACACCCGUGGCUAAGGCGGCUCUCUAGUACGGUACUGACGCUGAGACGCGAAAGCGUGGGGAGCGAACAGG
rnacentral:rRNA from 1 species